AAGUAGUAAAACCACAAGCUCCCCGCUCCACUCCAUUUUAGCCCUUGUGGGGUCCAGAUGACCCCCACUCCCAAGACAGUACAAGGAAAUGAAGCAUACAGAUGUUAGAGGAUGAAACAGGACUGGAUGUUCACUUCCUUCCCGCUCCCGUUCAUUACGGUCCAGCUCCCUUAUAUUUUUGUCUUUGUUAUUAUUUGACUCUCGCGAAUUUUUAAAAAUCGUGUCCGACUUUCCCACCAGAUCUCUGAACGUGACGUCAAUCAUCCUGACGCCACAUUGGACGUCAUGGUUUCCGUCAUCACGCUUGCCGUGGGCUGCAGUUGUCUCCGUCGCUGACGUUGAUAGAUGAUCGCUGCGCUUUAGAUUUUAGUGGGGGGACCGUCACUCAGAACACAGAUGGCUUCUGGGUAAUGUAGUAGUCAUUUUUUGUCAAUGGAGUUUCAAAGGGAUAAUGGGAAAUAAGCGGAGGCUUACUUCCACACCAACAGACUCGUUUUAUGGAGACUCUGUCAUUGAAAAUCAGGCUUUGGGAAAAGAUCAAAAGAUGAUCUUAAUUCUUUUAAUAAUCUCUCAUAAAUUCUGUUUUCACUUCGGUAUCCGACUGAGAUCCAAAUCAAAAUCCCUCCCCUGACCACAGAUGGAUGCGGUUACCGUGGUGACGAUGUCUGAAGGAUGCAGCGAUUUACUGAAUGAAAAGUGUGGGAAGUGGGGUCCACAGAUAGAUGUCUCUUCAUACUGAGGCUCUAAAUCAAACCCCUCUGAUUGGUGAAUACAUUUCCUAUUUAAAGGUGUGUGCGCUUUGCAUAACGACCUGCUAGCCUUUCUUAAAGCUGCCAGAACGGAAGCUGAGCAGAUGAUUAACUGCAUAAUGAUGAGCAGGCCAGAGCGGACGGCAGCGGGGUUUGAACCCCGUCAGCUGCGCCUGUCCGUCAUUAUUCCGGCCUGAAGUGUUACUGCCGGUCUGUUAGCAGAAGAAAGGAUAUUAGCGGCCGAAAAUGGUCCUUUAGCGCUCAUGCAAACACAUUUUAAUCCUCGUUAGAUCCCAUCUACCUGUGCCGUUAACAUGCAGCAAAAUGAAUGUUUAAACAGCCCCCCGGAGGAGGAGAAUUUGUUUCACACAUUUAUUCAAUGCUGCAUUAAAAAGAGAUUUUUAAAUAAGGCUUUGCAAGGAUAAUGAAGGAUAAUAUGGACUCCCUGCUGGAAAACAUUCCUCUUUUCACCUAUGAAUAUUUGCAUCUAAUAAACUCUGGAGGAGACGGCAAAUAUCCCAGAUUUAGGUUAAAGGAGGAUUUCAAAGUGGGCCAUUGCCGCUUUGAUUAGUUCAAACAGUUUGCUUUGAAUGUGCGAGCAGGAAACUCCAACGUGAGACGGCGUCAGCUUCCUACUUCAGAGAAAAUAGACCUUCAGGAGGAGACGUCCACGCUGAAAGGCAGAACCUGCUCAAACCAACACAACCCAGAAGGAACGAGGGAAUUAAAAAAAAAAAAAAAUAUCUGCCACACAACCACCAAUGACAUUUAUUUUGUUUUUUUUUAAAGAGAGCAGAUCAAAAAGAGCACAGGAAGUAUCAAACUAUCAAAAUCCAGAUCAUCCAAGGAGGCCAAGCUGUCUUAACUUGAUAGUAGUGCCCGAAUAGUAAACCAACAUUGAACAUCAAAGAGUUUUUGGAAUAAAAUCCAGAUUUACAGAAACAAAAAGGAGAAAUCGAGACCAAGAGCGUCCAACCUUUUUACCCUCAGUGUUUCGCGGAUGGCAGAGCGCUUGUCAAACUCAUACUGUGAAAGUGUUCAUGCACAGCUUUUUCUACAGGCGUGCUGCAGGCAACAGGUGGUGGAGAACACUCUCACAACAUUAAAGGGUGAAGUAGGUAAGAUGUAGGGAUUUCACAUUUCUUCAACCCUCCGAAUCCUGUUGACUGCAAAAGCUAGUGCUGUUCAUGUGAUACGUGCGCGUUCCUUGCAUGCAGCCUGACUGUUAGAAAUAAGGAAAUUAAACAAUCAGAGUGUAUUUUGUGUGGACAUCCUACAUGCACAUGCGUGCCACCUAAGUGCACGGUCAGUAAGGAGCCAGUACUCACACCGUCCGACAGCAUCACCUGGACCUCCCAAGUGCGAGUAGCUUCCAUUAUCCUUCCAAAGACUUCCCGGUACACCUACCACUCGCACCACAAUAGCACGUCCUUUGUUUACCCAUUGAGGUGGCCGUAUUAGACCCUAGGGAACUUCAAGACAAACCUACACCUCAAUUCUAUUCUAUUUAGCUCAAAUUCACAACAACAGUUGUCUCAAUGGACUUAAGAUGUGGCUGCUCUUCUCUACAACCCUCCACGGGGGGUGGGGGGGGGCACACUAUACAACCCCUGCAUGUGACUAAGGCUUUAGGAUGUCCGUCAGUUCACCGCGUCCUCAACAUCAGCAGUUUAAUGACUUUUUGAUUCCAAAAGACUUGAAUGCAGACAGGUGCAUGUUUGCCCCACGACACUCAUGAGGUCAGAAAGAGCAACAUUUCUAUCAAGUUUAGCUCUUCUGGCACGAGCUGGUUAAACUAGAUCAAACUCUAAAAUUAAUUUGUUUUUGUUUUUUUCCCCCACAAAAGAUCUUGGAAUGCUGUAUGAAUCUAAGAGAGAGGAGUUCAAGGAGGCGUGGUGCUCAGAAGUGAUGCAUUUCUUCUAAAGCUUCGCUGGAAAGUACAUUUUGUGAAGCAGCUUUGGACAUUUUUCCCACUGAGUCAAACUACAACAGCAACAGUUAGGCAGCUACACCCAAAUCCUCCAGGGUUUUGUCUCAAAGUGCAGAUCGGACCUCAGAACCGAACGUCAACCUGACAGCGCAGCGUGUGACGAACGUUACAGCUUCUGCUUUAUGAUGAACUUCAUUUCUGCAGAUUAAACCAGCAAACAAUGGAGCCUUUUAACUCUCAGCAGGGAGUCAAAAGAUGUCGAGACACAACAGCACCCUUGGAGACCACCUCCACUUAUUGCGGAUCUGACAAUUUUCCAAAAAGAAAAUAGAAACCACUGUGUUAGCAUCCCGUAUGAGCGCCUACAUGAGGGUGAGAGGUAGAGGGAGCUCAGGAAAUUCUUAUUCUGAAAUAAAUGUCAACAUCCAUAAAGGUUCAUAACAGAUUUUAAAUCAUAACAGUAUAUCGGACAUAACUAACAUAAAAUGAGGAUUCAUAUCGCUAACAUUACAGGACACCUACCUCUACGCUGGACGAUAAGAAAGAAAGGGGAGAGGGAAAGCAAGCGCCAAACUUAUGAAGGGAAAACCAGCGAAGAAGAACACAUUAAGGGGCUACAACCCAACACUGAAUACAGGGGGGAAAGAAACUUAGGGGCACCCAAUAUUUUGUGUAAUUAAAACAAACAGAUCUCAUCCUGUUACACUUGGCUCCAGUUUUCUGGCAGAUGCCUUUCCAGAUCCAGCCAUCUUCAUUUGCCGACAAUUGGAAUCCCAGGACAGCGCCCUCUUCAGGCUCAGAGCACCUUAAUGGUGGUUUCCUAACCAAACUCAACCCUGUUAAGCAUCAUUUUGAAGGCGGUACGGCUGUAUAAGCUAGUCCACACAUUUGUCUAAGACACACGUUCAUCAGUCUAUUAUCAGCACAUUGUUCUAAUAUUCAUCAAUGUUUUAAACAUUUGUGUUUCCAUAUUUCAUGGAGUAUAAGUCGCUUUUUUUUUGCUAAAUUCUUUUUGCUUAAUUCUCCCUGAUGUUUCAUUAAAACAGACAUUAAUGU